AUUGAACGCUGGCGGCAUGCUUUACACAUGCAAGUCGAACGGUAACAGGCCUUCGGGUGCUGACGAGUGGCGAACGGGUGAGUAAUGCAUCGGAACGUACCCAGAGGUGGGGGAUAACGCAGCGAAAGCUGUGCUAAUACCGCAUGUGAUCUGAGGAUGAAAGCGGGGGACCGAGCAGCAAUGUUUGGCCUCGCGCCUUUGGAGCGGCCGAUGUCGGAUUAGCUAGUUGGUGGGGUAAAGGCCUACCAAGGCGACGAUCCGUAGCUGGUCUGAGAGGACGACCAGCCACACUGGGACUGAGACACGGCCAAGACUCCUACGGGAGGCAGCAGUGGGGAAUGUUGGACAAUGGGCGCAAGCCUGAUCCAGCAAUGCCGCGUGCGGGAAGAAGGCCUUCGGGUUGUAAACCGCUUUUGGCAGGAACGAAACGGUGUCCGCUAAUACCGGGCGCUAAUGACGGUACCUGCAGAAUAAGCACCGGCUAACUACGUG
rnacentral:rRNA from 1 species